rnacentral:misc_RNA from 1 species
UUAUAAACCAAGAACUUAAUAGCCAUUCUCAUCACAGAUAAAGGAGCACAAACCAAAUACUACAAAAUUACAGGCCAGUGGCACAAAAAUAAGCUGUCCAAACAAUCUCAUGUGCUUAUAGUUUAAAAACUAGGAUAUUUAUAUGCAUCAGCAGGUCUUCAACCACAUACCUGUCAACUGGACUUAAUAGGUGAGCUGAGUUUAAUCCAUCUCUA